GGUUGUGGCUCAGUGGUAGAGCACUCGCCUCGAACGUGCAAGGCUGAGUUCAAUCCUCAGCAUCA
rnacentral:tRNA from 1 species